rnacentral:rRNA from 1 species
AACGCGAAGAACCUUACCUGGGCUCGAAAUGUAGAGGACGUUAUCAGAGAUGAUAAUUCCCGCAAGGGUCUUUACAUAGGUGCUGCAUGGCUGUCGUCAGCUCGUGCCGUGAGGUGUUGGGUUAAGUCCCGCAACGAGCGCAACCCUUAUCAUUAGUUGCCAACACGCGAGGUGGGGACUCUAAUGAGACUGCCUGGGUUAACCAGGAGGAAGGUGAGGAUGACGUCAAGUCCGCAUGGCCUUUAUGUCCAGGGCUACACACGUGCUACAAUGGUCGGUACAGAAGGCAGCGAAACCGCGAGGUGGAGCAAAUCCCCAAAACCGAUCCCAGUUCAGAUUGUAGUCUGCAACUCGGCUACAUGAAGUUGGAAUUGCUAGUAAUGGCGUGUCAGCAACAACGCCGUGAAUACGUUCCCGGGCCUUGUA